GAGUUUGAUCGUGGCUCAGGAUGAACGCUAGCGGCAGGCCUAAUACAUGCAAGUCGAACGGUAAAUAUUUUAGCAAUAAGAUAUGAGAGUGACGUACGGGUGCGUAACACGUAUGCAACCUACCUUGUACAGGAGUAUAGCUCGGGGAAACUCGGAUUAAUCCUUCAUAAUAUGAUUGGAUGGCAUCAUUUGAUCAUUAAAUUUUCGGAGGUACAAGAUGGGCAUGCGUCUGAUUAGUUAGUUGGCGGGGUAACGCCCACCAAGACGAUGAUCAGUAGGGGAACUGAGAGGUUGAUCCCCCACACUGGCACUGAGAUACGGGCCAGACUCCUACGGGAGGCAGCAGUAGGGAAUAUUGGUCAAUGGAUGGAA
rnacentral:rRNA from 1 species